UGCUGGACCAUCCAUGUUCUACGCAUUCUAACAUGUGCUUUACAUAAAAAAUUAGCCCAAGUGACCCUCACUGUGACAUUACACGUAUGUUCCAGGCCCUGAGAAUGUACCUUGCAUGCUCUGACCCUUUGAACACCAAAGAAAUAAGCAAGGAGGUAACAGAUGCCCCAAAGAGAUGAAUGGUGUCAUGAGAUCUGGGGGCUGGGACCUUGUCCAGCCUAAAGGUAGAAAUCUCACCAUCCCUCACCUGAGCAACUGAUCCAGGCGGCCUCUAAGGAAAAAUAAAGAGUCCACAUAGAGAGCCUGCAGGCA